AUUGAACGCUGGCGGCAUGCCUUACACAUGCAAGUCGAACGGUAACAGGUCUUCGGAUGCUGACGAGUGGCGAACGGGUGAGUAAUACAUCGGAACGUGCCCGAUCGUGGGGGAUAACGAAGCGAAAGCUUUGCUAAUACCGCAUACGAUCUACGGAUGAAAGCAGGGGACCGCAAGGCCUUGCGCGAACGGAGCGGCCGAUGGCAGAUUAGGUAGUUGGUGGGAUAAAAGCUUACCAAGCCGACGAUCUGUAGCUGGUCUGAGAGGACGACCAGCAACACUGGGACUGAGACACGGCCCCGACUCCUACGGGAGGCAGCGGUGGGGAAUUUUGGACAAUGGGCGAAAGCCUGAUCCAGCCAUGCCGCGUGCAGGAUGAAGGCCUUCGGGUUGUAAACUGCUUUUGUACGGAACGAAAAGACUCUGGUUAAUACCUGGGGUCCAUGACGGUACCGUAAGAAUAAGCACCGGCUAACUACGUGCCAGCAGCCGCCGUAACAC
rnacentral:rRNA from 1 species